rnacentral:rRNA from 1 species
AUUGAACGCUGGCGGCAGGCCUAACACAUGCAAGUCGAGCGGCAGAAGGGAGCUUGCUCCUGGAUUCAGGGGCGGACGGGUGAGUAAUGCCUAGGAAUCUCCCUGGUUGUGGGGGCUAACGUCCGGAAACGGGCGCUAAUACCGCAUACGUCCUGAGGGAGGACGUGGGGGAUCUUCGGAUCUUACGCCAUCAGAUGAUCCUAUGUCGGGUUAGCUAGUUGGUGGGGUAAAGGCCUACCAAGGCGACGAUCCGUAACUGGUCUGAGAGGAUGAUCAGUCACACUGGAACUGAGACACGGUCCAGACUCCUACGGGAGGCAGCAGUGGGGAAUAUUGGACAAUGGGCGAAAGCCUGAUCCAGCCAUACCGCGUGUGUGAAGAAGGUCUUCGGAUUGUAAAGCACUUUAAUUUGGGAGGAAGAGCAGUAAGUUAAUACCUUGCUGUUUUGACGGUACCAACAGAAUAAGCACCGGCUAACUUCGUG